rfam:Villosiclava virens strain TV-8b Sca_80, whole genome shotgun sequence.
UGACCUCGAAUCAGGUAGGAAUACCCGCUGAACUUAAGCAUAUCAAUAAGCGGAGGAAAAGAAACCAACAGGGAUUGCCCCAGUAACGGCGAGUGAAGCGGCAACAGCUCAAAUUUGAAAUCUGGCCCCCCGGGGCCCGAGUUGUAAUUUGUAGAGGAUGCUUCUGGCGAGGUGCCUUCCGAGUUCCCUGGAACGGGACGCCAUAGAGGGUGAGAGCCCCGUCUGGCUGGACGCCGAGCCUCUGUGAAGCUCCUUCGACGAGUCGAGUAGUUUGGGAAUGCUGCUCUAAAUGGGAGGUAUAUGUCUUCUAAAGCUAAAUACCGGCCAGAGACCGAUAGCGCACAAGUAGAGUGAUCGAAAGAUGAAAAGCACUUUGAAAAGAGGCUGACUUGGCUUUGACUUUGCUUCCGUCUCUGUUUUCUUCUCAUUCCCCCCUCUGCAAAGGUGAGCGGAUCGGGGCUCGUGGGUGUUUGGUUUGUAUGCUGGUGCACUCCGCCGGGCCCAGGCCAGCAUCAGUUUGCCCUGGGGGAUAAAGGCUCCGGGAACGUGGCUCCUCCGGGAGUGUUAUAGCCCGCCGCGCAAUACCCUGGGGCGGACUGAGGUUCGCGCAUCUUUUGCUAGGAUGCUGGCGUAAUGGUUAUCAGCGGCCCGUCUUGAAACACGGACCAAGGAGUCGUCUUCGUAUGCGAGUGUUCGGGUGUCAAACCCCUACGCGGAAUGAAAGUGAACGCAGGUGAGAGCCCUCUGGGCGCAUCAUCGACCGAUCCUGAUGUUCUCGGAUGGAUUUGAGUAACGGGGCCGCGGGUCCUUUGCCAUGUCCCAGCAGUGAGUUGGUUGACUGACUGACUUUGGACUGCCCGCCGUCCUUGUCGCCUGUCGCCUUGUCGCCUGUCACCCUUUGUCAGAGGAAACUCUGGUGGAGGCUCGCAGCGGUUCUGACGUGCAAAUCGAUCGUCAAAUAUGGGCAUGGGGGCGAAAGACUAAUCGAACCUUCUAGUAGCUGGGUUCCGCCGAAGUUUCCCUCAGGAUAGCAGUGUUGAUCUCAGUUUUAUGAGGUAAAGCGAAUGAUUAGGGACCCGGGGGUUUGAUAGUAUCUUGCUACUUGGAUAACCGUGGUAAUUCUAGAGCUAAUACAUGCUAAAAAUCCCGACUUCGGAAGGGAUGUAUUUAUUAGAUUAAAAACCAAUGCCCUCUGGGCUCUCUUGGUGAAUCAUGAUAACUUCUCGAAUCGCAGGGCCUUGCGCCGGCGAUGGUUCAUUCAAAUUUCUUCCCUAUCAACUUUCGAUGUUUGGGUAGUGGCCAAACAUGGUUGCAACGGGUAACGGAGGGUUAGGGCUCGACCCCAAUCCGCUAAGGACUGUGUAACAACUCACCUGCCGAAUGUACUAGCCCUGAAAAUGGAUGGCGCUCAAGCGUCUCACCCAUCCCUCGCCCUCAGGGUAGAAACGAAGCCCUGAGGAGUAGGCGGACGUGGGGGUCAGUGACGAAGCCUAGGGCGUGAGCCCUUGAUUUUGAUUUUCAGUGUGAAUACAAACCAUGAAAGUGUGGCCUAUAAACAGGACUUUUACUUUGAAAAAAUUAGAGUGCUCCAGGCAGGCCUAUGCUCGAAUACAUUAGCAUGGAAUAAUGAAAUAGGACGUGCGGUUCUAUUUUGUUGGUUUCUAGGACCGCCGUAAUGAUUAAUAGGGACAGUCGGGGGCAUCAGUAUUCAAUUGUCAGAGGUGAAAUUCUUGGAUUCCGGCGCCUGGAUGUGGGUUUUGCGCGGCAACGCAACUGAACGCGGAGACGACGGCGGGGGCCCCGAGCAGAGUUCUCUUUUCUUCUUAACGGUCUCUCCCCCUGAAAUCGGUUUGUCCGGAGCUAGGGUUUAACGGCCGGAAGAGCCCAGCACCUCUGCUGGGUUCGGUGCGCUCCCCUCGUCAUCUGACGUGCGGUUCUAUUUUGUUGGUUUCUAGGACCGCCGUAAUGAUUAAUAGGGACAGUCGGGGGCAUCAGUAUUCAAUUGUCAGAGGUGAAAUUCUUGGAUUUAUUGAAGACUAACUACUGCGAAAGCAUUUGCCAAGGAUGUUUUCAUUAAUCAGGAACGAAAGUUAGGGGAUCGAAGACGAUCAGAUACCGUCGUAGUCUUAACGGAUAAGGAUUGGCUCUAAGGGUUGGGUGCGUUGGGCCUUGGGAGGACGCCCUGGGAGCAGGCCACCACUAGCCGGGCAACCGGCCGGCGGCGGCCAGCAUCCGGGUGCUGAUGCCCUUGGCAGGCCUCGGCCGUCCGGCGCACGGUUAACAACCAACUUAGAACUGGUACGGACAAGGGGAAUCUGACUGUCUAAUUAAAACAUAGCAUUGCGAUGGCCAGAACGGUGUUUCGCGUAUUGUAAUUUCAACACGAGCGGGGUCAAAUCCUUUGCAGACGACUUAGCUGUGCGAAACGGUCCUGGGGAAACUCACCAGGUCCAGACACAAUGAGGAUUGACAGAUUGAGAGCUCUUUCUUGAUUUUGUGG